rnacentral:rRNA from 1 species
UACGUAGGGGGCGAGCGUUGUCCGAAGUUACUGGGCGUAAAGCGCACGUAGGCGGAUUGCUAAGUCAGGGGUGAAAUCCUGGAGCUCAACUCCAGAACUGCCUUUGAUACUGGCGACCUUGAGUCCGGGAGAGGUGAGUGGAACUGCGAGUGUAGAGGUGAAAUUCGUAGAUAUUCGCAAGAACACCAGUGGCGAAGGCGGCUCACUGGCCCGGUACUGACGCUGAGGUGCGAAAGCGUGGGGAGCAAACAGG